ACCUAAUGUUGAUUAAAGUAUGUAAACUAGGUGCUCCUGUUCAGGGUUGCUAAGUAUUCUCUGGUCUAAUUUCAUUUCUGGGUUGGAAGAACAGGAGUCUAACAAGUAGUCUGAUAAUCCAAAGUAAAUACACUAGAUACUGGCCUAAUUCCAUUUCUGGGUUGGAAGAAUAGGAAUAGAAAGAAUAGCUUUAUAAAUUUAAGUUAUGAUACUUUCCAAAUAUUCAAUAUCUACAUAUUUAUAGGUUCUUAGCUAUCCAGGACAUGGAAAGAAAUGAAAAAUUAAAAAAAGUUUAAAACAACUUAAGUAAUAUAAGUAAGUAAAUAACACAGAACUUGUAUUGCAGGGCUUAAAGAGCUCCGGCAGGGGGCCGGAUUUCCGGCUUUUGAUCAAACGGUCCGCCUCAACCAAACUGUAGUCUC